rnacentral:rRNA from 1 species
AACGAACGCUGGCGGCAGGCUUAACACAUGCAAGUCGAGCGCCCCGCAAGGGGAGCGGCAGACGGGUGAGUAACGCGUGGGAACGUACCCUUUGCUACGGAAUAGCUCCGGGAAACUGGAAUUAAUACCGUAUGUGCCCUACGGGGGAAAGAUUUAUCGGCAAAGGAUCGGCCCGCGUUGGAUUAGCUAGUUGGUGGGGUAAUGGCCUACCAAGGCGACGAUCCAUAGCUGGUCUGAGAGGAUGAUCAGCCACAUUGGGACUGAGACACGGCCCAAACUCCUACGGGAGGCAGCAGUGGGGAAUAUUGGACAAUGGGCGCAAGCCUGAUCCAGCCAUGCCGCGUGAGUGAUGAAGGCCUUAGGGUUGUAAAGCUCUUUCACCGGAGAAGAUAAUGACGGUAUCCGGAGAAGAAGCCCCGGCUAACUUCGUGCCAGCAGCCGCCGCGGUAA